GCAGAACCAGCCCGUGCACACCAGGAGGCUGUGAUGGAGAAUGGUCUUCAGAAUAGAGUGAAGGCUUUGGUUCACCAGAUAAUUCGUCUUUCUGGCCCACCUUGUCUAAAUGGUGCAGAGACGAGGCAGAGAUGAAGCUCAUCAAGCUUGCCGAAUCUUCAGAGGAGGCACGUAGAGACGUGAGGGUGACGAUGAUUAAAGAGAUGAUCCGGAUGCACAACAGUAAACGUUGGGAGAAAAAGUUGAUCGACGUCUACAGGUUCACCGAGAGGUUUCCGACCAUAUUUUUUGUCUUACAACCCUUCCAUCCUAUAUGGAGAACUCUCGACCCUAAGAACCCUCCAUACUGCGUUCCACCCUUAUACAUACAAGUUGGGAAACACAAUAUGUCUUAAAUUCAUCAGUUCAACAUCUUAUGAGCAGUAACUAGAGUUCUUGGAUUGGUUAUGUAAAGCCGGUGGAUGGUAAUGAUUUACACAUCUGCUGCAGCACCUGUCAGUAAUGUUUGUCAUUUGGCACACUGCAAUAGAUUCAACAUUUUCAGUUUACAAUCCUCUAUGAAUAACUUUCAAGCCAGAGGGUCCAUUUUGUUUUCCUCUCAUCUACCACCUCAGUAAACAUCAGACCUAAACCAGCCCGUGCACAUCAGGUCAAGUCGUCCAUUAAAGUGGAGUGUGUGAUCACAGAAAAGAAUGAAUUUGGCAAGAGUCCCGUCUGGGAUGAAAAAGACUCUGUCUUUGGUGGGUCAGCUGGUGGAGUUCUCUCACUGGUCAUGAGGAGAGUAUCACUACAGAAACCUGUAGGAUCUGUGGUGCGAAAGGCAGACGGUUACGUCAUCGAGGAGGGGAUGUGCUUUGCGUUUGUUGACCGGGUCAUGCACUCCAUUACAACAGCUGCUCAGCUGGACAAGGAAAAGGCCAACGCUCGCUUCAGUGAUGGAAAAGUAAAACAGCUGGGAGGUUCUUUGCAGACCUGCCGCCGGCCGUGGUGGAGAGGAAACAGGGGUCUCUGUAUCCUGACCGUUCAUCAUUCAGACCAGGUGGACAUCUCCGACAGUUUGGACUGGUCACUGGAUCACCGCAUCUUUUUUCCACAUCAACACCCUGCCGUACAUGACUACCACAUCCAGACCGGCUGUCCAUACUGUAUUUAUUUUUCUGUGUGUGUGUGUGUGUGUGUAA